GUUCUAAUAGCUUAAACACCCAAAGCAUUGACUUUGUAAGUCAAAAAUGGACCCUCGACCCUUAGAACA
rnacentral:tRNA from 1 species